GGAAUGUAACACUUGCUUGGUUUACGAACUUGCUGUGCUCAUAUUGUCAUAUUAACUGAUUAUUAUUAUAUGCUGAUGCAUGCCCAUCAAGGCAAAACACUAUUCUUAUUUAGGUGGCGCAUUAUUUAGUAGGGUUAUGGGAAAAUUGAUGCUAUAGAUUAGAGUUCCUGAUCUUAAAGAAUUCUGCCAUGGGUGUAGCUCAUAUAGGAAUAUUCUGUAAAAUGUAAGGGUUUGUUUGGCAUUGUUGCAUACCUCAUGCAAAUUUAUAAUUUUGGGGGAACCAAAAUUAAUAGAAGAA
rnacentral:misc_RNA from 1 species